rnacentral:rRNA from 1 species
AGAGUUUGAUCAUGGCUCAGAACGAACGCUGGCGGCGUGCUUAACACAUGCAAGUCGAACGCGAACGGUUUCUUCGGGAACCUAGUAGAGUGGCGCACGGGUGAGUAACGCGUAAGUUAUCUACCCUCCCAUCUGAAAUAACUCACCGAAAGGUGUGCUAAUACCGGAUACGUUGAUUUAUCAAGAAAGGUGGCCUCUAUUUAUAAGCUACCGUGGGGGGAUGAGCUUGCGUACCAUUAGCUAGUUGGUAGGGUAAUGGCCUACCAAGGCAACGAUGGUUAGCGGGUCUGAGAGGAUGAUCCGCCACACUGGAACUGGAACACGGACCAGACUCCUACGGGAGGCAGCAGUGAGGAAUAUUGCGCAAUGGGGGAAACCCUGACGCAGCGACGCCGCGUGGAUGAUGAAGGCCUUUGGGUCGUAAAAUCCUGUCAGAUGGAAAGAAAAGCUAUAAUGCUAAU